GACGAACGCUGGCGGCGUGCUUAACACAUGCAAGUCGAGCGGAAAGGCCCCUUCGGGGGUACUCAAGCGGCGAACGGGUGAGUAACACGUGGGUAAUCAACCCCUGACAUCGGGAUACCCCGGGGAAACCCGGAUCAAUACCGGAUAAGGUGCGGAGGCGCAGGCCGCCGUACCAAAGGUAGCUUCGGCUUCCGGUCAGGGACGAGCCCGCGGCCCAUUAGCUUGUUGGUGGGGUAAUGGCCCACCAAGGCGACGAUGGGUAGCUGGUCUGGGAGGACGAUCAGCCACACUGGGACUGAGACACGGCCCAGAGUCCUACGGGAGGCAGCAGUGGGGAAUCUUGCGCAAUGGGCGGAAGCCUGACGCAGCAACGCCGCGUGCGGGAAGAAGGCCUUAGGGUCGUAAACCGCUUUCAGGGGGGACGAAGCUUCCGGGGUGAAUAGCCUACGGGGUGACGGUACUCCCAGAAGAAGGUCCGGCUAACUACGUGCCAGCAGCCGCAGUAA
rnacentral:rRNA from 1 species